rnacentral:rRNA from 1 species
UACGUAGGGUGCGAGCGUUAAUCGGAAUUACUGGGCGUAAAGCGUGCGCAGGCGGUUCGUGAUGUCCGAUGUGAAAGCCCCGGGCUUAACCUGGGAAUGGCAUUGGAAACUAGCGGGCUGGAGUGUGGCAGAGGGGGGUGGAAUUCCACGUGUAGCAGUGAAAUGCGUAGAGAUGUGGAGGAACACCGAUGGCGAAGGCAGCCCCCUGGGCUAACACUGACGCUCAUGCACGAAAGCGUGGGGAGCAAACAGG